ensembl:lncRNA
GUAUGUUCCAUAUGAGUGUUUGACAUUUGAAAUCUGUGUUUAAUGUGUCUGGUUGGUGAUCUUUAGCGGAGGAGGAUGAGUCAGAGUACAGUACAUCUGAGGAGCGGUCCCCUGUGGACAGGUCCCAGGAACCUGAGUCAGCAGGAGAGAAGCCAGAGAGCUGUGGGGUUCGGCCAGCCCAGAGACUGCUGCCUGACGUGGACCGGAGGUGGGGGAGCAGGGGCGCAGCGGUGUCGAGGAAGACCCCAGAUCCAGGCGGCCCGGCCGGGGGCGAGAGACUUGCGGACGGGCCUUCGGAGGAGGAAGAGAGAAGGUACACUUCUGAUGUCAUUUCCUGUGGGUUGGAAGAUUCCGAGGAAGAGGAGGAGCCUAAUCUCGCAGCCAUUCAGGAGAACAUUUUCAACAAGCCAACCAGGUACGUUACCCACCAUGCAACACUGCAUUACAGCCCGUUCUGUA